CCUACGGGCGGCUGCAGUGGGGAAUAUUGCGCAAUGGGCGAAAGCCUGACGCAGCGACGCCGCGUGAGGGAUGAAGGUCUUCGGAUCGUAAACCUCUGUCAGCAGGGAAGAACGGUCACUGUGCUAAUCAGCAGUGCAUUGACGGUACCUGCAAAGGAAGCACCGGCUAACUCCGUGCCAGAAGCUGCGGUAAUACGGAGGGUGCGAGCGUUAAUCGGAAUUACUGGGCGUAAAGCGGUCGUAGGCGGUAUGUCAAGUCAAGGGUGAAAUCCCCGCGCGCAACGUGGGAACUGCCUUUGAAACUGACAAACUGGAGUGUGGGAGAGGAUAGUGGAAUUCCAGGGGUAGGAGUGAAAUCCGUAGAUAGCAGGAGGAACAUCAGUGGCGAAGGCGACUAUCUGGCACAUAACUGACGCUGAGGAGCGAAAGCGUGGGUAGCAAACAGGAUUAGAUACCCCAGUAGUC
rnacentral:rRNA from 1 species